UAACCUGCUAAAUAGCCCGUACUGCUCUGGCAGUUCGCCGGCUUCUUAGAGGGACUAUCGGCUCAAGCCGAUGGAAGUUUGAGGCAAUAACAGGUCUGUGAUGCCCUUAGAUGUCCUGGGCCGCACGCGCGUUACACUGACAGGGCCAGCGAGUACCUCCUUGGCCGGAAGGCCCGGGUAAUCUUGUUAAACCCUGUCGUGCUGGGGAUAGAGCAUUGCAAUUAUUGCUCUUCAACGAGGAAUCCCUAGUAAGCGCAAGUCAUCAGCUUGCGUUGAUUACGUCCCUGCCCUUUGUACACACCGCCCGUCGCU
rnacentral:rRNA from 1 species